AUCCUUCGGGUGAAGGUGGCGGACGGGUGAGUAACGCGUAAAGAACUUGCCUUACAGACUGGGACAACAUUUGGAAACGAAUGCUAAUACCGGAUAUUAUGACUGAGUCGCAUGAUUUAGUUAUGAAAGCUAUAUGCGCUGUGAGAGAGCUUUGCGUCCCAUUAGUUAGUUGGUGAGGUAACGGCUCACCAAGACGAUGAUGGGUAGCCGGCCUGAGAGGGUGAACGGCCACAAGGGGACUGAGACACGGCCCUUACUCCUACGGGAGGCAGCAGUGGGGAAUAUUGGACAAUGGACCAAAAGUCUGAUCCAGCAAUUCUGUGUGCACGAUGAAGUUUUUCGGAAUGUAAAGUGCUUUCAGUUGGGAAGAAGUCAGUGACGGUACCAACAGAAGAAGCGACGGCUAAAUACGUGCCAGCAGCCGCGGUAAUACGUAUGUCGCAAGCGUUAUCCGGAUUUAUUGGGCGUAAAGCGCGUCCAGGCGGUUUAGUAAGUCUGAUGUGAAAAUGCGGGGCUCAACCCCGUAUUGCGUUGGAAACUGCUAAACUAGAGUACUGGAGAGGUAGGCGGAACUACAAGUGUAGAGGUGAAAUUCGUAGAUAUUUGUAGGAAUGCCGAUGGGGAAGCCAGCCUACUGGACAGAUACUGACGCUAAAGCGCGAAAGCGUGGGUAGCAAACAGGAUUAGAUACCCUGGUAGUCCACGCCGUAAACGAUGAUUACUAGGUGUUGGGGGUCGAACCUCAGCGCCCAAGCUAACGCGAUAAGUAUCCGCCUGGGGAGUACGUACGCAAGUAUG
rnacentral:rRNA from 1 species